ACCAGGCAUGGUGGUGCACACCUGUAAUCCCAGCUACCCAGGUGGCUGGGACUCCAGGAUCAAGUGAACCCAGGAGUUCUGGGCUGUAGUGAACUAUGCUGAUUAGGUGUCUGCUCUAAGUUUGGCAUCAAUAUGGUGACUUCCCAGGAGCUGGGGACCACCAGGUUGCCCACGGGGGGGUGAACUGGUCCAGGACAGACACAGAACAGGUUAAAACUCCUGUGCAGAUCAAUAGUGGGAUGGCACCUGUGAAUAGCCACGGCACUCCAGCCUGGGCAACACAGCAAGAUUCCAU
rnacentral:SRP_RNA from 1 species